rnacentral:rRNA from 1 species
GACGAACGCUGGCGGCGCGCCUAACGCAUGCAAGUCGAACGGAGUCAAGAGGAGCUUGCUUUUCUUGACUUAGUGGCGAACGGGUGAGUAACGCGUGAGUAACCUGCCCUGGAGUGGGGGACAACAGUUGGAAACGACUGCUAAUACCGCAUAAGCCCACGGAUCUGCAUGGAUCUGCGGGAAAAGGAUUUAUUCGCUCUAGGAUGGACUCGCGUCCAAUUAGCUAGUUGGUGAGGUAACGGCCCACCAAGGCGACGAUUGGUAGCCGGACUGAGAGGUUGAACGGCCACAUUGGGACUGAGACACGGCCCAGACUCCUACGGGAGGCAGCAGUGGGGGAUAUUGCACAAUGGGGGAAACCCUGAUGCAGCGACGCCGCGUGGAGGAAGAAGGUUUUCGGAUUGUAAACUCCUGUCGUUAGGGACGAUAAUGACGGUACCUAACAAGAAAGCACCAGCUAACUACGUG